rnacentral:rRNA from 1 species
UACGUAGGGGGCAAGCGUUGUCCGGAUUCAUUGGGCGUAAAGGGCGUGUAGGCGGCCAGGUAGGUCGGUUGUGAAAACUGGAGGCUCAACCUUCAGAGGUCGACCGAAACCAUCUGGCUAGAGUCCGGGAGAGGAGAGUGGAAUUCCUGGUGUAGCGGUGAAAUGCGCAGAUAUCAGGAAGAACACCCGUGGCGAAAGCGGCUCUCUGGAACGGUACUGACGCUGAGACGCGAAAGCGUGGGGAGCGAACAGG